GGAUGUGAGGGCGAUCUGGCUGCGACAUCUGUCACCCCAUUGAUCGCCAGGGUUGAUUCGGCUGAUCUGGCUGGCUAGGCGGGUGUCCCCUUCCUCCCUCACCGCCCCACGUGCGUCCCUCCCGAAGCUGCGCGCUGGGUGGAAGAGGACGACCAUCCCCGAUAGAGGAGGACCGUUCUUCGGUCAAGGGUAUACGAGUAGCUGCGCUCCCCUGCUAGAACCUCCAAACAAGCUCUCAAGGUCCUAUUAAUUUACAGGUAUUCUCUCUGUAUUCUGAAUCUGAGUCCCUUGUCUAUUAUAUCUCACAAAAAUAGAUUCUCCUCUCAGCUUUGCACUUUCAUUUUCCUAACAGUCUUUCGAUGAGCAAAAGUUUCUG
rnacentral:snRNA from 1 species